rnacentral:rRNA from 1 species
GAUGAACGCUAGCUACAGGCUUAACACAUGCAAGUCGAGGGGAAACGAUAGGGAAAGCUUGCUUUUUCUAGGCGUCGACCGGCGCACGGGUGAGUAACGCGUAUCCAACCUGCCCAUCACUUGGGGAUAACCUUGCGAAAGUAAGACUAAUACCCAAUGACGUCUCUAGAAGACAUCUGAAGGAGAUUAAAGAUUUAUCGGUGAUGGAUGGGGAUGCGUCGGAUUAGCUUGUUGGCGGGGUAACGGCCCACCAAGGCGACGAUCAGUAGGGGUUCUGAGAGGAAGGUCCCCCACAUUGGAACUGAGACACGGUCCAAACUCCUACGGGAGGCAGCAGUGAGGAAUAUUGGUCAAUGGACGAGAGUCUGAACCAGCCAAGUAGCGUGCAGGAAGACGGCCCUAUGGGUUGUAAACUGCUUUUAUAAGGGAAUAAAGUGAGUCUCGUGAGACUUUUUGCAUGUACCUUAUGAAUAAGGACCGGUUAAUUCCGUGCCAGCAGCCGCCGUAA